GAUGAACGCUAGCUACAGGCUUAACACAUGCAAGUCGAGGGACCUGCGCACGGGUGAGUAACACGUAUCCAACCUGCCCUUUACUCGGUGUUAGCCUUUCGAAAGAAAGAUUAAUACCCUAUAUAAAGGAUGGGGAUGCGUUCCAUUAGGUUUUCGGUGCGGUAACGGCCCACCAAGCCUUCGAUGGAUAGGGGUUCUGAGAGGGAGGUCCGCAACAGUGGAACUGAAACACGGUCCAAACUCCUACGGGAGGCAGCAGUGAGGAAUAUUGGUCAAUGGGCGUUAGCCUGAACCAGCCAAGUAUCGUGAAGGAUGAAGGCUUAUGGGUCGUAAACUUCUUUUAUAUAAGAAUAUGUAUUAUAUGAAUAAGGAUCGGCUAACUCCGUGCCAGCAGCCGCGGUAAUAC
rnacentral:rRNA from 1 species